UUGCUUUUAAGUGGCACCUAACGCGAAUAUUUUUACCGAGAAACGCCACGCCCUUUAGCUCUCCUUGCUUGCUCCCUUCUUUCUCUGUUUUUUUUAUCUCUCCACCCACCUUUCUCUGUUCUUCUCUCGGCCCGAAGUAGACUGCGGAUUUUAGAAGAAGAAGAAGAAGGAGAGAGAGAGAGAAGGAAAGGAUAAAAGAGAGAGGAGCAGCGAAGGACGAGUAACAACCACGUCCUUCUCAUUCUUUCCAUAUCUCCCACCUUAUCACCAGGGAAGAUCGAAAUUAAAGAGAAAACAGGGGAAAAAAUUUAAAAAAUAGCAACGAGCUAGUUUUUCUCCCGAGAGGUUUACGAUUCCACUUGCCAGAUCUGCUCCAAAAA
rnacentral:lncRNA from 1 species